rnacentral:rRNA from 1 species
UACAGAGGUCCCAAGCGUUGUUCGGAUUCACUGGGCGUAAAGGGUGCGUAGGUGGUGAGGUAAGUCGGAUGUGAAAGCUCCGAGCUCAACUCGGAAAUGGCAUUGGAAACUACCUUGCUAGAGGGUUUGAGGGGGGACUGGAAUACUUGGUGUAGCAGUGAAAUGCGUAGAUAUCAAGUGGAACACCAGUGGCGAAGGCGGGUCUCUGGACAGUUCCUGACGCUGAGGCACGAAGGUCAGGGGAGCAAACGGG